AGAGUUUGAUCCUGGCUCAGGAUGAACGCUAGCUACAGGCUUAACACAUGCAAGUCGAGGGGCAGCAUGGUCUUAGCUUGCUAAGGCCGAUGGCGACCGGCGCACGGGUGAGUAACGCGUAUCCAACCUGCCUUACACUCUUGGACAGCCUUCUGAAAGGGAGAUUAAUACAAGAUGUUAUCAUGAGUAAGCAUUUUCGCAUGAUUAAAGGUUUACCGGUGUAAGAUGGGGAUGCGUUCCAUUAGAUAGUAGGCGGGGUAACGGCCCACCUAGUCUUCGAUGGAUAGGGGUUCUGAGAGGAAGGUCCCCCACAUUGGAACUGAGACACGGUCCAAACUCCUACGGGAGGCAGCAGUGAGGAAUAUUGGUCAAUGGACGAGAGUCUGAACCAGCCAAGUAGCGUGAAGGAUGAAGGUUCUAUGGAUUGUAAACUUCUUUUAUACGGGAAUAAACGAAUCCACGUGUGGAUUUUUGCAUGUACCGUAUGAAUAAGGAUCGGCUAACUCCGUGCCAGCAGCCGCGGUAAUACGGAGGAUCCGAGCGUUAUCCGGAUUUAUUGGGUUUAAAGGGAGCGUAGAUGGGUUGUUAAGUCAGUUGUGAAAGUUUGCGGCUCAACCGUAAAAUUGCAAUUGAUACUGGCAGUCUUGAGUACAGUUGAGGUAGGCGGAAUUCGUGGUGUAGCGGUGAAAUGCUUAGAUAUCACGAAGAACUCCGAUUGCGAAGGCAGCUUACUAACCUGUAACUGACAUUGAUGCUCGAAAGUGUGGGUAUCAAACAGGAUUAGAUACCCUGGUAGUCCACACGGUAAACGAUGAAUACUCGCUGUAGGCGAUAUACAGUCUGCGGCCAAGCGAAAGCAUUAAGUAUUCCACCUGGGGAGUACGCCGGCAACGGUGAAACUCAAAGGAAUUGACGGGGGCCCGCACAAGCGGAGGAACAUGUGGUUUAAUUCGAUGAUACGCGAGGAACCUUACCCGGGCUUAAAUUGCAACCGAAUAUGGCGGAAACGCUAUAGCUAGCAAUAGCGGUUGUGAAGGUGCUGCAUGGUUGUCGUCAGCUCGUGCCGUGAGGUGUCGGCUUAAGUGCCAUAACGAGCGCAACCCUUGCCGAUAGUUACUAACAGGUUAUGCUGAGGACUCUGUCGGGACUGCCAUCGUAAGAUGUGAGGAAGGUGGGGAUGACGUCAAAUCAGCACGGCCCUUACGUCCGGGGCUACACACGUGUUACAAUGGGGGGUACAGAGGGCUGCUACCACGCAAGUGGAUGCCAAUCCCAAAAACCUCUCUCAGUUCGGAUUGAAGUCUGCAACCCGACUUCAUGAAGCUGGAUUCGCUAGUAAUCGCGCAUCAGCCACGGCGCGGUGAAUACGUUCCCGGGCCUUGUACACCCCGCCCGUCAAGCCAUGGGAGCCGGGGGUACCUGAAGUGCGUAACCGCAAGGAGCGCCCUAGGGUAAAACUGGUGACUGGGGCUAAGUCGUAACAAGGUAGCCG
rnacentral:rRNA from 1 species